UCCAAAACAAACAUCAAAAUAAACACAAGAAUCGGUCACUGAGCACAAAAUGAAUCUUUUACCAUGGCUGUCCCAGUCUUCUGAGCUGAACCCUAUAGAAAAUGAGUGGGGUAAACUGAAGAGAAGAAGUGCUAACAUGGAGCUGUGAAUCUGAAGCAUCGGGAGAGAUUUUGUAUGAAGAAAAUGGUCUUUGAUCUCUUAUCAGGUAUUCUCCAAACUCUUCAGGCAUUACAGGAGAAAACUCAGAGCUGUUAUCCUGGGAAAAGGACGUUGCAAUAAUUGGGUGCCAAUAAUUGUGGCCAACAUGAACUGGAGAAAGCAUUUAUUUCACAAUUAGUUUUUUUUACCCCACUUUCAAUUGUUUUACUUCAAUAAUAGUUUAGAAUUUUGUGAAUUUUUUGAAUGAAAGAUAAACAAUGCAGAUUUAUUUUCAAAGCCGCCUUUGCUCAUAUUUACCAAGGGUGCCAAUAUUAGUGGAGGGCAUUGUAUGUAUUGCUGUUGUUCUGCUGGUGACUGUACCUGAUGUGAUUUACUAAAGCAGUGAUACGCAGAGGUAAGUGAGUGAUUUCCUUGUAUUAGAUACUGACCAUUUUGUUUGUUAUUUUGGCCUCUUCCCACUCCUGAAGUUAUUUUGUUACACUAAUGAUCCUUGUUGCCUGACCUCUGCUUUUGUCUGUGACAUUUUGGAGCCACAAACACUGCUACUAUGCUAAUGUUUUAAUUACCUUUAAUUUUUAGUGUUCCUUCCCCUACCCUAUAGGCUACGGCAGAAUGUAACAGCAGUUGCUCUACAAAAAACACGAGCACAACAGAAUGACAAGCACAUACUUCUGAUUUAAUCAAAUUUAAAUAUAAACUUUUAGUCAAUAAAAGGAGCCUUUAAAGGGUAAAUACAUGUAUUUUAUUCUAAUUAGCCUAACACUGAUUCUUGAGACAUGGGACAAAACAUGUCCAGCAAUUAUAGCUGCUGUUAGGUUUAAAAAUGGAAAUAAUUUCAAUUGUAAAUGUUAUGAUGAGGAAUUAAUAAUAGAAUGUAUUUAACACAAUUAUCCCUUUCAAUUUAAGUUUAUCAUUAUUAUAUCAAAUCUAUGACACUUAUUGUCUUCUCACUACAUCUAAAACAGUGUGUCCACAGAGAAGGGUUCAAUCAUUCAUAUGCUAUAAAAUGGAUAAAAAAGAGCAUGUUUUAUCAAAAACAACAUCUACUCAAAGCACAUAUAGUAAAUAUAGAAAGAUACUAAAAUCCCCUAGAACACCCUACUAACCACAUUUGCUAAUUGUAGACAUUCAUUUAUCAAAUUGUUUGUGUUAUUAACUGCAGGAACUGGAGAAGGUGCAGAUUUCUUCAGCAGUCAUCAUCAUGUGUUUGUGUCUGAACUUCACAACAACCACAGGAACUGAAGAUGCAGCACAUCACGACUACAGCUACAAUCAGAGAUCCAGCAGCAGAGAUCAGCGCUGUGUAAAAUAAGGAUGCAGCCCAUCACGACUGCAGCUACAAUCAACAGAGAGCCAACAGCAGCAGAUAUCAGCACUAUGUAAAACAAGGCCCUGAUCUGUAUGGACAAAAUAAAUAUGUAAGUCUGAC